UGGGGAAUAUUGCACAAUGGGCGCAAGCCUGAUGCAGCCAUGCCGCGUGUAUGAAGAAGGCCUUCGGGUUGUAAAGUACUUUCAGCGGGGAGGAAGGGAGUAAAGUUAAUACCUUUGCUCAUUGACGUUACCCGCAGAAGAAGCACCGGCUAACUCCGUGCCAGCAGCCGCGGUAAUACGGAGGGUGCAAGCGUUAAUCGGAAUUACUGGGCGUAAAGCGCACGCAGGCGGUUUGUUAAGUCAGAUGUGAAAUCCCCGGGCUCAACCUGGGAACUGCAUCUGAUACUGGCAAGCUUGAGUCUCGUAGAGGGGGGUAGAAUUCCAGGUGUAGCGAUGAAAUGCGUAGAGAUCUGGAGGAAUACCGGUGGCGAAGGCGGCCCCCUGGACGAAGACUGACGCUCAGGUGCGAAAGCGUGGGGAGCAAACGGG
rnacentral:rRNA from 1 species